rnacentral:rRNA from 1 species
AAGUCGAACGGCAGCACAGUAGAAGCUUGCUCUAUGGGUGGCGAGUGCGCGGACGGGUGAGUAAUGCAUCGGGAUCUACCCAAACGUGGGGGAUAACGUAGGGAAACUUACGCUAAUACCGCAUACGUCCUAUGGGAGAAAGCGGGGGAUCGCAAGACCUCGCGCGGUUGGACGAACCGAUGUGCGAUUAGCUAGUUGGUAGGGUAAAGGCCUACCAAGGCGACGAUCGCUAGCUGGUCUGAGAGGAUGAUCAGCCACACUGGAACUGAGACACGGUCCAGACUCCUACGGGAGGCAGCAGUGGGGAAUAUUGGACAAUGGGCGCAAGCCUGAUCCAGCAAUGCCGCGUGUGUGAAGAAGGCCUUCGGGUUGUAAAGCACUUUUAUCAGGAGCGAAAUGCCAUUGGCUAAUACCCGGUGGAGCUGACGGUACCUGAGGAAUAAGCACCGGCUAACUUCGUGCCAGCAGCCGCGGUAAUACGAAGGGUGCAAGCGUUAAUCGGAAUUACUGGGCGUAAAGCGUGCGUAGGCGGUGUCUUAAGUCUGCUGUGAAAUCCCCGGGCUCAACCUGGGAAUGGCAGUGGAUACUGGGACGCUAGAGUGUGAUAGAGGAUGGUGGAAU